rnacentral:rRNA from 1 species
GUGGGGAAUAUUGGGCAAUGGGCGCAAGCCUGAUCCAGCAAUGCCGCGUGCAGGAAGAAGGCCUUCGGGUUGUAAACUGCUUUUGUACGGAACGAAAAGGCUCUGGUUAAUACCUGGGGCUCAUGACGGUACCGUAAGAAUAAGCACCGGCUAACUACGUGCCAGCAGCCGCGGUAAAACGUAGGGAGCAAGCGUUAAUCGGAAUUACUGGGCGUAAAGCGUGCGCAGGCGGUUUUGUAAGACAGAGGUGAAAUCCCCGGGCUCAACCUGGGAAUUGCCUUUGUGACUGAAAGGCUGGCGUGCGGCAGAGGGAGAUGGAAUUCCGCGUGUAGCAGUGAAAUGCGUAGAUAUGCGGAGGAACACCGAUGGCGAAGGCAAUCCCCUGGGCCUGCACUGACGCUCAUGCACGAAAGCGUGGGGAGCAAACAGGAUUAGAUACCCUAGUAGUCC